rnacentral:rRNA from 1 species
AAUAGAUACCCUGGUAGUCCACGCCGUAAACGAUGAGUGCUAGGUGUUAGGGGUCCAACCCUUAGUGCCGAAGUUAACACAUUAAGCACUCCGCCUGGGGAGUACGGUCGCAAGACUGAAGCUCAAAGGAAUUGACGGGGGCCCGCACAAGCGGUGGAGCACGUGGUUUAAUUCGAAGCAACGCGAAGAACCUUACCAGGGCUUGACAUCCCUCUGACCGUUCUAGAGAUAGAGCUUCCCUUCGGGGCAGAGGUGACAGGUGGUGCAUGGUUGUCGUCAGCUCGUGUCGUGAGAUGUUGGGUUAAGUCCCGCAACGAGCGCAACCCUUGUCCUUAGUUGCCCAGCAUUCAGUUGGGCACUCUAGGGAGACUGCCGGUGACAAACCGGAGGAAGGUGGGGAUGACGGUCAAAUCAUCAUGCCCCUUAUGUCCUGGGCUACACACGUGCUACAAUGGCUGGUACAAAGGGUAGCGAAGCAGUGAUGUGGAGCCAAUCCCAAAAAGCCAGUCACAGUUCGGAUUGUAGGCUGCAACUCG